rnacentral:tRNA from 1 species
UCUUAGCUCAGUUGGUAGAGCAGCGGACUCUUAAUCCGUAGGUCGUAGGUUCGAAUCCUACAGGAC